UACAACUUUCAGCGGUGGAUGUCUAGGUUCCCACAACGAUGAAGAACGCAGCGAAAUGCGAUACGUAAUGCGAAUUGCAAGACCUCGUGAAUCAUCAAGAUUUUGAACGCACAUUGCGCUUUCGGGUAUUCCCGGUAGCAUG
rnacentral:rRNA from 1 species